UACAUGUGGGGCAAGCGUUGUUCGGAAUUAUUGGGCGUAAAGAGCUCGUAGGCGGUUUGUCGCGUCGGCUGUGAAAACUCGGGGCUCAACCCCGAGCCUGCAGUCGAUACGGGCAGACUAGAGUGCGGUAGGGGAGACUGGAAUUCUUGGUGUAGCGGUGAAAUGCGUAGAUAUCAAGAGGAACACCUGAGGUGAAGACGGGUUGCUGGGCCGACACUGACGCUGAGUGCGCGAAAGCCAGGGGAGCAAACGGG
rnacentral:rRNA from 1 species